AUUGAACGCUGGCGGCAUGCCUUACACAUGCAAGUCGAACGGCAGCACGGAGCUUGCUCUGGUGGCGAGUGGCGAACGGGUGAGUAAUAUAUCGGAACGUACCCUAGAGUGGGGGAUAACGUAGCGAAAGUUACGCUAAUACCGCAUACGAUCUAAGGAUGAAAGUGGGGGAUCGCAAGACCUCAUGCUCGUGGAGCGGCCGAUAUCUGAUUAGCUAGUUGGUAGGGUAAAAGCCUACCAAGGCAUCGAUCAGUAGCUGGUCUGAGAGGACGACCAGCCACACUGGAACUGAGACACGGUCCAGACUCCUACGGGAGGCAGCAGUGGGGAAUUUUGGACAAUGGGCGAAAGCCUGAUCCAGCAAUGCCGCGUGAGUGAAGAAGGCCUUCGGGUUGUAAAGCUCUUUUGUCAGGGAAGAAACGGUGAGAGCUAAUAUCUCUUGCUAAUGACGGUACCUGAAGAAUAAGCACCGGCUAACUACGUGCCAGCAGCCGCGGUAAUACGUAGGGUGCAAGAGUUAAUCGGAAUUACUGGGCGUAAAGCGUGCGCAGGCGGUUUUGUAAGUCUGAUGUGAAAUCCCCGGGCUCAACCUGGGAAUUGCAUUGGAGACUGCAAGGCUAGAAUCUGGCAGAGGGGGGUAGAAUUCCACGUGUAGCAGUGAAAUGCGUAGAUAUGUGGAGGAACACCGAUGGCGAAGGCAGCCCCCUGGGUCAAGAUUGACGCUCAUGCACGAAAGCGUGGGGAGCAAACAGGAUUAGAUACCCUGGUAGUCCACGCCCUAAACGAUGUCUACUAGUUGUCGGGUCUUAAUUGACUUGGUAACGCAGCUAACGCGUGAAGUAGACCGCCUGGGGAGUACGGUCGCAAGAUUAAAACUCAAAGGAAUUGACGGGGACCCGCACAAGCGGUGGAUGAUGUGGAUUAAUUCGAUGCAACGCGAAAAACCUUACCUACCCUUGACAUGGCUGGAAUCCCCGAGAGAUCAGGGAGUGCUCGAAAGAGAACCAGUACACAGGUGCUGCAUGGCUGUCGUCAGCUCGUGUCGUGAGAUGUUGGGUUAAGUCCCGCAACGAGCGCAACCCUUGUCAUUAGUUGCUACGAAAGGGCACUCUAAUGAGACUGCCGGUGACAAACCGGAGGAAGGUGGGGAUGACGUCAAGUCCUCAUGGCCCUUAUGGGUAGGGCUUCACACGUCAUACAAUGGUACAUACAGAGCGCCGCCAACCCGCGAGGGGGAGCUAAUCGCAGAAAGUGUAUCGUAGUCCGGAUUGUAGUCUGCAACUCGACUGCAUGAAGUUGGAAUCGCUAGUAAUCGCGGAUCAGCAUGUCGCGGUGAAUACGUUCCCGGGUCU
rnacentral:rRNA from 1 species